UACGUAGGGUGCAAGCGUUAAUCGGAAUUACUGGGCGUAAAGCGUGCGCAGGCGGUUUUGUAAGACUGCCGUGAAAUCCCCGGGCUCAACCUGGGAAUGGCGAUGGUGACUGCAAGGCUAGAGUUUGGCAGAGGGGGGUAGAAUUCCACGUGUAGCAGUGAAAUGCGUAGAUAUGUGGAGGAACACCGAUGGCGAAGGCAGCCCCCUGGGUCAAAACUGACGCUCAUGCACGAAAGCGUGGGGAGCAAACAGG
rnacentral:rRNA from 1 species